UACGUAGGGUGCAAGCGUUAAUCGGAAUUACUGGGCGUAAAGCGUGCGCAGGCGGUUUUGUAAGACUGUCGUGAAAUCCCCGGGCUCAACCUGGGAAUGGCAAUGGUGACUGCAAGGCUAGAGUUUGGCAGAGGGGGGGUAGAAUUCCACGUGUAGCAGUGAAAUGCGUAGAUAUGUGGAGGAACACCGAUGGCGAAGGCAGCCCCCUGGGCUGACACUGACGCUCAGGCACGAAAGCGUGGGGAGCAAACAGG
rnacentral:rRNA from 1 species